rnacentral:lncRNA from 1 species
AUGACUGGCAGCUGUCUCCCCACGCCACAGUCGAGCCGAGUGAGGCUCCCGGAGAGGCUCUUGGUGACGUGGCUGCUAACCCUCGCUUCCCGCCUUAGCCCAGCAGCUGUGUUCAGCAGAGGUGUUCACACACGGUGCACAGGGAGAGGUGUUCACACACGGUGCACAUGGAGAGGUGUUCACACACGGUGCACAGGGAGAGGUGUUCACACAUGGUGCACAGGGAGAGGUGUUCACACACUGCACGUGGAGAGGUGUUCACACACGGUGUACAUGGAGAGGUGUUCACACACGGUGCACAUGGAGAGGUGUUCACACACGGUGUACAUGGAGAGGUGUUCACACACGGUGCACAGGGAGAGGUGUUCACACAUGCUGCACAGGGAGAGGUGUUCACACACGGUACACAGGGAGAGGUGUUCACACACAGGGUGCACAGGGAGAGGUGUUCACACAUGCUGCACAUGGAGAGGUGUUCACACACGGUGCACAUGGAGAGGUGUUCACACGGUGCACAUGGAGAGGUGUUCACACACGGUGCACAUGGAGAGGUGUUCACACACAGUGCAUAGGGAGAGGUGUUCACACACGCUGCACAUGGAGAGGUGUUCACACACGGUGCACAGGGAGAGGGGUUCACACACGGUGUACAUGGAGAGGUGUUCACACAUGAUGCAUAUGGAGAGGUGUUCACAUGUGUACAUGGAGAGGUAUUCACACAUGAUGCAUAUGGAGAGGUGUUCACACACGAUACAUAUGGAGAGGUGUUCACAUGUGCACAUGGAGAGGUGUUCAUACGUGCACAUGGAGAGAUGUUCACACGUGUACAUGGAGAGGUGUUCACACACAAUACAUAUGGAGAGGUGUUCAUACAUGCACAUGGAGAGGUGUUCACACGGUGCACAGGGAGAGGUGUUCACACACGAUACAUAUGGAGAGGUGUUCACACGUGUACAUGGAGAGGUGUUCACACAUGGUGCAUGUGAAGAGGUGUUCACACACGAUACAUAUGGAGAGGUGUUCACAUGUGGUGCACAUGGAGAGGUGUUCACACUGCUCACACUCAGUACACAUGAAGAGGUGUUCACACGUGGUGCCGUGCCGAGGGAGUCACACCUGGCGCACGUUGCGAUUGUGAUUCCACGGCACAGACUGGCAGCAGUGGGCGUGAGGUUCUCCUGCUGA